rnacentral:rRNA from 1 species
UCGUGCCUACGGGACGCAGCAGUGGGGAAUAUUGGGCAAUGGGCGCAAGCCUGACCCAGCAACGCCGCGUGAAGGAAGAAGGCUUUCGGGUUGUAAACUUCUUUUCUCAGGGACGAAGCAAGUGACGGUACCUGAGGAAUAAGCCACGGCUAACUACGUGCCAGCAGCCGCGGUAAUACGUAGGUGGCAAGCGUUAUCCGGAUUUACUGGGUGUAAAGGGCGUGUAGGCGGGAAAGCAAGUCAGAUGUGAAAAACACGGGCUCAACCUGCGGCCUGCAUUUGAAACUGUUUUUUUUGAGUACUGG